rnacentral:rRNA from 1 species
AUGAACGCUGGCGGCGUGCCUCAUACAUGCAAGUCGAGCGAACAGACGAGGAGCUUGCUCCUCUGACGUUAGCGGCGGACGGGUGAGUAACACGUGGAUAACCUACCUAUAAGACUGGGAUAACUUCGGGAAACCGGAGCUAAUACCGGAUAAUAUAUUGAACCGCAUGGUUCAAUAGUGAAAGACGGUUUUGCUGUCACUUAUAUAUGGAUCCGCGCCGCAUUAGCUAGUUGGUAAGGUAACGGCUUACCAAGGCAACGAUGCGUAGCCGACCUGAGAGGGUGAUCGGCCACACUGGAACUGAGACACGGUCCAGACUCCUACGGGAGGCAGCAGUAGGGAAUCUUCCGCAAUGGGCGAAAGCCUGACGGAGCAACGCCGCGUGAGUGAUGAAGGUCUUCGGAUCGUAAAACUCUGUUAUUAGGGAAGAACAAAUGUGUAAGUAACUAUGCACGUCUUGACGGUACCUAAUCAGAAAGCCACGGCUAACUACGUG